UGGGAAGAAAAAUGAUUGUAACUUAGCAUGUAUAAUAGUAUAUAUAGAAUUAACUUUUACUGUGAGAACCUUGUUACUGAGUAGUGUUGGAAUUCUACAAUAUUUAGCUUCUAUUUCUCUGUAUUCAAACCCCAAAUAUUUUAUUAAAAGAAAAAAAAAUAAAGAGAAGGAAGUGGAGAGCGUUUUUAGCCAUUAUAUAUACAUCUGUCACUUGACCUCAGUUUGAAUGCUGUGUACGGAUCCUCUCCACCUUAAAACAGUACAGUAAAAUGUAACAGUGUAGAUAUAGCAUAACAAAACUCAGUAAGAUGCAAAGAAAAGCGAUGAGGAUAAAGAGAAGUUGUGACUCUUUUUGUGCCUGUAUUUAGGAAAUUCAACUAUGUAAAAUGGGGAAGAGGAGGUGGGAAUGAGGUAUAUAAACAAUAAGGUACCUGCGCUCCUAUGCUUGUGUGGGGUAUCUGUAACUGAGCAGUCAAAAUCACGCUAGUUUUUAAACCGUACUAAACUGGCUUGAUGUUCAGUUGACACUGGUAUCUCUAUACAUAUCAAAUAUAUGUAGUUGUAUACUAUACAGCUGAAACAAAGUUUCUAUGCAGGAAGGACAAUAACUCUUUUAUUUGCACAAACAUCAUGCUUAAAUACCCUCGUAUAACUUCUACUAGUAUUACUGGAUGUCUUAUAUAUUCCAGUGAAAGCAAGUGGCACUGGACUGAACAACAGAGAAGUCUUAUAAAUCUGUAAGUCACAAGUAAAUUGCUUAGCACCACUUUGGGCCUAAACUCUUGCAUCUUGGUAAGUCAAUUAUAUAUAUUUAUUAGAUUUACUACCCCUACUGUUAAGCAAUUAACAAACAAAUUAUACCACUCUGUCUCAUCCAUUUAUUUCCCAGUUGAUUUGUUUCUUUCUCACUUUUUCAGACUGCUCUGCUCUUUUUAAUCCAGGAUAAGUUGAAGAAGAAACAAGACUAAGUUACAAACAAGCUUUUUAAGACAGGAUGAGCUUGCAUUCAUUGUAUGAGUUCGUGAGCUUGCAUAAGUGACACUGUGCUGUAGAAUGAUUCCAGACUUAUGAGGGAGCCAUUGAUUAUACAGCUCUUUUGGUUUUCUGAGUACUUUAAUGAUGCUUUGCUUUUUGAAGAAGCUGCAACUUAAAAUAAAGCCCGUUUUCGAUUUAUGCAGUUGUUACAUUUCCACCAUGGGAAUACAGAGCACCACAAGUAAGUUACCUGUAAUGAUUAUCAUUUUUGUGGCAUGAAGAUGAUGUGCACAGUGCUCAUUGUAUUGGAUACAAUUGGAUACUUAUCACGUUAUUUAGAUAAUUAUACAUAAAUUUCAUGGGAAGG